CAUAAGUAACGAUAAUGCGGGUGAAAAACCCGCACGCCGGAAGACCAAGGGUUCCUGUCCAACGUUAAUCGGGGCAGGGUGAGUCGACCCCUAAGGCGAGGCCGAAAGGCGUAGUCGAUGGGAAACAGGUUAAUAUUCCUGUACUUGGUGUUACUGCGAAGGGGGGACGGAGAAGGCUAUGUUAGCCGGGCGACGGUUGUCCCGGUUUAAGCAUGUAGGCGGAGGUUCCAGGUAAAUCCGGUACCUUUUUAACGCUGAGGUGUGAUGACGAGGCACUACGGUGCUGAAGUAACAAAUGCCCUGCUUCCAGGAAAAGCCUCUAAGCAUCAGGUAACACGAAAUCGUACCCCAAACCGACACAGGUGGUCAGGUAGAGAAUACCAAGGCGCUUGAGAGAACUCGGGUGAAGGAACUAGGCAAAAUGGUGCCGUAACUUCGGGAGAAGGCACGCUGAUAUGUAGGUGAAGCGGUUUACCCGUGGAGCUGAAAUCAGUCGAAGAUACCAGCUGGCUGCAACUGUUUAUUAAAAACACAGCACUGUGCAAACACGAAAGUGGACGUAUACGGUGUGACGCCUGCCCGGUGCCGGAAGGUUAAUUGAUGGGGUUAUCCGUAAGGAGAAGCUCUUGAUCGAAGCCCCGGUAAACGGCGGCCGUAACUAUAACGGUCCUAAGGUAGCGAAAUUCCUUGUCGGGUAAGUUCCGACCUGCACGAAUGGCGUAAUGAUGGCCAGGCUGUCUCCACCCGAGACUCAGUGAAAUUGAACUCGCUGUGAAGAUGCAGUGUACCCGCGGCAAGACGGAAAGACCCCGUGAACCUUUACUAUAGCUUGACACUGAACACUGGUCCUUGAUGUGUAGGAUAGGUGGGAGGCUUUGAAGUGUGGACGCCAGUCUGCAUGGAGCCAUCCUUGAAAUACCACCCUUUAAUGGCUGGUGUUCUAACGUGGACCCGUUACCCGGGUUGCGGACAGUGUCUGGUGGGUAGUUUGACUGGGGCGGUCUCCUCCUAAAGAGUAACGGAGGAGCACGAAGGUUAGCUAAUCCUGGUCGGACAUCAGGAGGUUAGUGCAAAGGCAUAAGCUAGCUUGACUGCGAGAGUGACGGCUCGAGCAGGUGCGAAAGCAGGUCUUAGUGAUCCGGUGGUUCUGAAUGGAAGGGCCAUCGCUCAACGGAUAAAAGGUACUCCGGGGAUAACAGGCUGAUACCGCCCAAGAGUUCAUAUCGACGGCGGUGUUUGGCACCUCGAUGUCGGCUCAUCACAUCCUGGGGCUGAAGUAGGUCCCAAGGGUAUGGCUGUUCGCCAUUUAAAGUGGUACGCGAGCUGGGUUUAGAACGUCGUGAGACAGUUCGGUCCCUAUCUGCCGUGGGCGCUGGAGAAUUGAGGGGGGCUGCUCCUAGUACGAGAGGACCGGAGUGGACGCAUCACUGGUGUUCGGGUUGUCAUGCCAAUGGCAUUGCCCGGUAGCUAAAUGCGGAAGAGAUAAGUGCUGAAAGCAUCUAAGCACGAAA
rnacentral:rRNA from 1 species